rnacentral:other from 2 species
UACAAGCUGCGCUGUUCGUAAUGAUUAUUAAGUUUUAACCUUUAAGCUGUAAUAGGGAGUUUUAUAUCGAAACAGGAAUGUUAUGCCUUGUCACUGACUUGGACAACAGGAUUGUUUCUGCAAACACCCACUUUGAGGAGUGGUGGUUUAAAACUUUCUUACUGAAUACGGCAAUGGCGGCUUACAU